rnacentral:rRNA from 1 species
GACGAACGCUGGCGGCGUGCUUAACACAUGCAAGUCGAACGGAAAGGCCCUGCUUUUGUGGGGUGCUCGAGUGGCGAACGGGUGAGUAACACGUGAGUAACCUGCCCUUGACUUUGGGAUAACUUCAGGAAACUGGGGCUAAUACCGGAUAGGAGCUCCUGCUGCAUGGUGGGGGUUGGAAAGUUUCGGCGGUCGGGGAUGGACUCGCGGCUUAUCAGCUUGUUGGUGGGGUAGUGGCUUACCAAGGCUUUGACGGGUAGCCGGCCGGAGAGGGUGACCGGCCACAUUGGGACUGAGAUACGGCCCAGACUGCUACGGGAGGCAGUAGUGGGGAAUAUUGCACAAUGGGCGGGAGCCUGAUGCAGCAACGCCGCGUGCGGGAUGACGGCCUUCGGGUUGUAAACCGCUUUCGCCUGUGACGAAGCGUGAGUGACGGUAAUGGGUAAAGAAGCACCGGCUAACUACGUG